GCUUCUUGUUUGGGAAUUUAAGAAAAUGUCCGACUCUUCGGGAGUGUCUCAUGGAAUGGGCAAUCCUUACAAAAUAGUCGAUCAUGCGAGGGAACGCCGCAAGGGAAUUACGGCAACCUCUCUCAAGGAAUUAAUGAAUACCGCUCGAAGCCGGUUGUCGUUACCUCCAGAUGUGGAUAUCACCGUUGUUCUUGAACAAGAUGGAACAGAGGUAGACGACGAAGAAUACUUUGCAACGUUAGAAAGGAAUACGAGUCUUAUGGUGUUACAUGGAGAUCAGAAAUGGACGGCAGCUGGUAGUGGGAAGACAACCUCUCGAUACAUUGUCGUAGAUGACGUAGACAACGUCGAAAGUAGCUCAAAGAGUGACGGAGUCAGGAGGAUUCGAACUCCGGUCGAACCAUUAGUUUCGACACUUCAUGGAGAUCCAUCUCAUAUUUCGUUGCUCGGUGGCAAUGACUUGGAAUUGCUCAGUGACAUGGAUCCGGAUAGCCUUGUAGACAUUAUGCCUGACAGGAUGUUCCUCGAACAAUUGAAGGAAGCAUCGGGUCGGUUUCUGGUUGAGAAACGUCAAGCUCAGGAGUCAAUGGCUCUUCUUCAGAUGUACGAAAGCCGUAGUGAGAUGGAGCGAGCGUAGGCCAUGUGGGGGGUGGGCGCCCUCACAUUGGCCAACAUGUAUCGCGUACGACGACGCAUUUUCUACAAAGGUCGUCAAAUACGACAAACCUUAAUCCUCUUGUGGAAUUGAGCCCAUUGAAUUUUUUUUAUUUGUGUACUUGGACACACGAGGAAGAACGUCCUUUGUAUGAUGAACAGCGAAAGCAAUGACACGUCAAUAAUAUUAAAGGAAUCGUUAUUACUUUACUGCUCUAAAACUGCUCAAGCUAUAUUUUGCUUGGAGUAGUUGGACGGAGCAGAACUUAUGCCCCUCUUAAAGCACGGCGUACUCUAUGGAAUUGCUUUCACACACAGCAAAAAUCCACUAUAUUCCCAUAAUAUAAUAACAUGGCAAGAAACGUGAAUGUAUCCUUUGAGGAGAAGUGUAAUAUAGGAGUAAUACGGGAGGAAAAUGAGUAUACCGUCAUAAGGUUGUCAUAUCAGUGAUAGAACAAGAAAAUACUCCCUUUACUUUGUAUUUUAUAUGUAGGUAAACCAUGUGAAGUUUUAGUUCAACGAAGUUUAAAGAAAUAUUUAAGACUGAGAAUCAUAGAAACACAAGUUUCAUCUCCAUUUAGAUCACAAAUUCAUUGUGCACUAACUUUCGUGGUGCAAUAAAAAAUAUCAGCCCUUUGAUACCGAUUGAAGUUGCGCGUUUGAUAAAAAAAAAAGAAGAAAUUGUCUAAAAAUCAAUGAUAAAGGGGCUUCUGAAAAGGACGCACACGUCGGUACACGAAGACCCAUACCGGUUGAAGUAAAGUGUGGUGAUCAAAAUGGUUGAAGUACUGUUUCGUUUGUACAGAUUUGUGACUCGAUGUAUGUACAAGUAGAAUUUAAUAAUUUAACAGACUAGUGUAGCUGCAUUCUAAAUGACAACCUGACGAUUCUCUACAGAAGCCCCUCAAAUUUAUGCUAUAAUGUUGUUUGAUACUGUAUGACAUGUAUUUGACAUCAUGUAGCAUAUUGACUGUUGUUUGUACAGUCAUUUGCACUCAUAACAUUUUAAAUGAGGAAAAAUGCAACGACCAUUAUAGACUAUUUGUUACCCAGUAACACCCAAAAUAACAUUAUUACGUUACACACUUUAGGGUAACUUUAGUUGGUAAUAAGUUAAAUGUUAAGUCACACACGUACACGUUUAUAUUUUAGGUACAACUAACAUUGAACUAUAUGCUGUUUAGUGAGUAACCAAACUACCAAAUAGAACUGCCAAUUCAAAAAAAUGAAUCAAUCAAUGCUCAAAAAAAAAUCCCAAGGAUCUCACGUUUUUAAUAAAUCUGGAGUGCUUUAAGGAGUCUUAAAGACAAAGAAAUUGUAAAAAUGGAAGUAAUAAAAUGAAUAGUUGCUCGCUUCAGCAAUUGGACAAUUUUU